UUCGUAGGUGGCUCGCUAAGUCAGACGUGAAAUCCCUCAGCUUAACUGGGGAACUGCGUCUGAGACUGGCAAGCUCGAGUGCAGGAGAGGAACGCGGAAUUCCAGGUGUAGCGGUGAAAUGCGUAGAUAUCUGGAGGAACACCGGUGGCGAAGGCGGCGUUCUGGACUGCAACUGACACUGAUGAACGAAAGCCAGGGGAGACGAAACG
rnacentral:rRNA from 1 species